GAAUGCAUCAUUCAUCAGCGGCUGUUUCGAGAUUUAUCUUAGCGCAAUACUUGGAAUGAAACUCUAAAUGCUCAAAUAUUCUAAUUGUUUUAGAUAGAUAGUUGCUUUUAUUUAUUUUCUUAAUUUGUUUUAAGGGAAGUCAAAUGGUAAAAAAGAUGGAAUAUAAAUAUAAAGAUUCAUUUCCAUCAAUGUAAUUGUGAAGAUCGAUUUUAUAACAAGUGAAAAAUAAAAUCGUUUUAAUGCAAGCGAUAUCUUAACCAAAGAGUGAACUGAUUGAUAUUUGAAUAGAAGACUGAUCUGUACUUCAUGCUUCAAGGAAUAUGUUCAAAUGCGUCUGCCCUUUUCGAAUCAAAAUAAAGAGGGAAAUAUUUACCGUCUGGUAUGACAUGGAGGAAGAAAUUAAAACGAAAGAAAUAUUUCUUGGAGGCACCCUUAGAAUUGAUUAAAACAGGGAAGUAUCUGACUCCAACAUCGUUUUCUCUGUUUUCGAACGUAAAUCUAUAUAAGGAAAAGCUCACUUUUUUGUAACAUGUCUGAAUUGUUUGUAAAAGUUAUAGCUGUAUCCGUAAUAGCUGUGGAAAUUAGAGCAUCCGUUGUUUUCAGUUCAGUUUUGUAAUUAACUUGGAGAUGAAAAAAAAUUAUGUCUGUUUCAACGGGUUUCAAUAAGUUAUGAAGGUAUUUGAUGACUUUAUUUCUGAAAUUUAAAUUAAGACGUGACAGAAAAUAUAUAUGUUCUCGAAUUAUAAAUGGAACAAUCAGUUUAACUAAAACAUUCUCUUUUAUUGGACAGAAUAGUAAAGAAACGGGAUAACAUAAGUGUUUGAUGAAAUACUGUAAACUUUUGUCAUAAAAUUUGUAUAUAAUAUCA